UACAGGGGGGGCAAGCGUUGUUCGGAAUUACUGGGCGUAAAGGGUCAGUAGGCGGCCAACUAAGUCCGACGUGAAAUCCCAAAGCUUAACUUUGGAACUGCGUCGGAUACUGGAUGGCUUGAAUUCGGGAGAGGGAUGCAGAAUUCCAGGUGUAGCGGUGAAAUGCGUAGAUAUCUGGAGGAAUACCGGUGGCGAAGGCGGCAUCCUGGACCGAGAUUGACGCUGAACGACGAAAGCUAGGGGAGCAAACGGGAUUAGAUACCCCGGUAGUCCUAGCCCUAAACGAUGAAUGCUUGGUGUGGCGGGUAUCGAUCCCUGCCGUGCCGAAGCUAACGCAUUAAGCAUUCCGCCUGGGGAGUACGGUCGCAAGGCUGAA
rnacentral:rRNA from 1 species